CCAACCUAGGGACGCAGCAGUGGGGAAUAUUGGGCAAUGGGGGAAACCCUGACCCAGCAACGCCGCGUGAAGGAAGAAGGCUUUCGGGUUGUAAACUUCUUUUACCAGGGACGAAGAAAGUGACGGUACCUGGAGAAAAAGCAUCGGCUAACUCCGUGCCAGCAGCCGCGGUAAUACGGAGGAUGCGAGCGUUAUCCGGAUUUAUUGGGUUUAAAGGGUGCGUAGGCGGUCCGUUAAGUCAGCGGUAAAAUUGCGGGGCUCAACCCCGUCGAGCCGUUGAAACUGGCAGACUUGAGUUGGCGAGA
rnacentral:rRNA from 1 species